UACAGAGGUCCCAAGCGUUGUUCGGAUUCACUGGGCGUAAGGGGUGCGUAGGUGGCUUGGUAAGUUCGAUGUGAAAUCUCCGGGCUUAACCCGGAAAUGGCAUUGAAUACUAUUGAGCUGGAGGUUUGGAGGGGGGACUGGAAUUCUCGGUGUAGCAGUGAAAUGCGUAGAUAUCGAGAGGAACACCAGUGGCGAAGGCGAGUCCCUGGACAACACCUGACACUGAGGCACGAAAGCUAGGGGAGCAAACAGG
rnacentral:rRNA from 1 species